rnacentral:rRNA from 1 species
UUAAAUUGAAGAGUUUGAUCAUGGCUCAGAUUGAACGCUGGCGGCAGGCCUAACACAUGCAAGUCGAACGGUAACAGGAAGCAGCUUGCUGCUUCGCUGACGAGUGGCGGACGGGUGAGUAAUGUCUGGGAAACUGCCUGAUGGAGGGGGAUAACUACUGGAAACGGUAGCUAAUACCGCAUAACGGCGCAAGACCAAAGAGGGGGACCUUCGGGCCUCUUGGCAUCGGAAGAUCCCC